CCUAAAUUGAUACUCCGCACCUUCCAACGCAACGGAAGAAGAAAUACGCUGUCGUCGAUUCUGACCACCUCUGGCCAACCCACAGUGAUCCGAGAUCAGAUCCAAGAAGCCCAUGAGCCGAUCUACAAAACCCCCAUCACCACACCGCCCGAUUCCCCGCCGAUCGGCCGGAAUUUCAGUUUGAAAUUCCUGGCCACCGCACCUUCCAACGCAGUUUUCGGUGCCUUCCGACGCCUAAUCCCCCGGAAAGUGCUUUCUUUGGACUCCUCUCGUUGAGCUGAACAAAUCCAUACCAAGUUUGCUGCCAUUGGUAGCCGGAACAGUUUCGACCACCUUCGGUUAGAUUUUUGAUAUUUUUAGAAAUUUUCUGGUAAUCGGAGCGUCAAAUGAAGAAACUGAAGGUGGGAACGAGUUUGUCUCAUCGAGAGCUUCGACAUGGUAUAUCGGGUCUUCAGAUUCCAGUACCACUACAUCGGUUGACCGGCAACAAUGACGGAUCAACAAAUCAACCCGUUGGCCUGAAAUGAGAAGAAUGCCUCCCUAGCCUAUUUUUGACGUUCCAAACGCAUUUGUAGCAUCGGAUUUUCACAAAGAGACUCCGAGAGCUGAGCAAAGAUUCAAAGUUUUGCAUUCGGAACAAACGGUUCCGUUUCUGCGAACCAAAGUUUUGUAUGUAGGGAAUGAAGACUCAUUCCUUUCUGAAGGAACUUGGCCAGCAGAGUGUGUGUAUAGCUUUCUAGACAAGUCAGUGGGCAUUUCAACCUUGUUUGAGAUUACUAAUGAUUCCUUGGUGGAUCCCACGUCCCAAAUUAUUCAAACGCGCAUCCCACUUAGUAUUCCUGGUCUUGAAGGUUUGAUGAUUCCCAUUAUCAGUCGUGGACAUAUUUUGAAAUUACUUGGGGAAAAACUGCUCUUGUACGAUGGGAGGCGACUCUAGGAUCAGUGCGGAGUAGCUGAAUAGGUUGCUACCAUCGGAUUUGGUGAGAAUUGUGAUUAUUCUCCCUGUGUACGAAUGUAAGGAUUGUAACCUCUGUAAACUCUGAAUAUUUAGAUUUCUAGACUGUGAUUGAUGUUUGUAAUGUCAUUUACAUGUUCAUGUAUGUACAAUGUUGCGUAUUCUGUGAGUGAAGCCCUGAACGGUUCAGAAAGUGCAUGCAACCCCUUGACUUUCUUGUAAUUUAUUUUCAGCAAUAUGUAAACGGAGGCUUGUUUAGGA